AGAGACAGCAGUAGCCGCGGUAAUACGAGGGGUGCAAGCGUUAUUCGGAUUGAUUGGGUGUAAAGGGUGUGCAGACGGCUUAUUAAGUCACUUGUUAAAUUCUUCGGCCUAACUGAAGGUCUGCAAGUGAUACUGAUGAGCUAGAGGGUGGAAGAGAGAAGUGGAAUUCUCGGAGUAGCGGUAAAAUGCGUAGAUCUCGAGAGGAACACCAAUGGCGAAGGCAGCUUCUUGGUCCAUUCCUGACGUUCAUACACGAAAGCGUGGGGAGCAAACAGGAUUAGAUACCCGCGUAGUCCCUGUCUCUUAUAC
rnacentral:rRNA from 1 species